GAGAGGAGGUUGUAGUCGAAGCCGCACACAGGCGCCGCCACCACCGUCACCCUCUAGAGGAGACGCUGCCGCUUCAUCGACGGACUCAUCUGGUACAAGGAGAUCAUCAAAAUGCAUCACACUCAUGAUCAUCAAAACGCAACAGCAGGAGCAAAUACAAGUUUAGCCCACCAUGAACAGGGGCACUAGGCAAUCUAGUAGCAAUGUCAUAUAUCUCUACUAUUAAAGGGGGAUCGAACGUCGUGAUGGUUCGACCUCCUUCGAUCCCCCCCUCCCUUCGAUCUCGCACACGCACGCAGCAGCCCACCAACUCAGCCCACGUACGCAAAAUCACCAACUCAGCCCCCACCAACUCAGCCCACGUACGAGAUCGAGAUCCACAGUCCAACACACAAACUCAGCGCCCACCAACUCAGCCCACGUACGAGAUCCAGAUCCACAGUUCAACACACGAACGAGAACACACGAACAAGAAGUCCAUGGAACCCCACGAUCGCCACGAACGAGGACGAGGUCCAUCGACCAAAAAUCAAACUUCUUCGACCCGCCAACGAACGCCAGUUCUUCCUGGCGUACGAGCUCCAUCAAGACGCCAAUUCUUCCUGACGUACAAGCUCCAUCAAGACGCCAGUUCUUCCUGGCGUACAAGCUCCAUCAAGACGCCAGUUCUUCCUGGCGUACGAGCUCCAUCCACAUGCGAACAAACGCCGCCAAAACAGAUGCCAGUUCGUCCGGCCACAUCGUCCGCACGCGAGCUGUGGGAGUUGCAGCCUCUGCUGAUCGCCUCGCAUGCCGAACCACAACCAGAGCGUCCAAACGCUCGACGGCUGUUGCUGCGACAUCUCCU
rnacentral:lncRNA from 1 species